CUACUUAUAGCUUAUUUAAAGCAAUUCACUUACAUUGAAUUGAAGUUAUUUUUAACUGAGUUGA